rnacentral:rRNA from 1 species
GAUGAACGCUAGCGGCAGGCUUAACACAUGCAAGUCGAACGCGAAAGGGACUUCGGUCCUGAGUAAAGUGGCGCACGGGUGAGUAACGCGUAGAUAACCUGUCCUUGUGUUCGGGAUAAUAUGCCGAAAGGUGUACUAAUACCGGAUAUUCUUGUUUUUCACAAGGUAUGCAAGCAAAGGUGGCCUCUGAUAUAAGCUACUGCAUAAGGAGGGGUCUGCGUACCAUUAGCUAGUAGGUGGGGUAAUGGCCCACCUAGGCGACGAUGGUUAGCGGGUCUGAGAGGAUGAUCCGCCACACUGGCACUGGAACACGGGCCAGACUCCUACGGGAGGCAGCAGUGAGGAAUAUUGCGCAAUGGGGGCAACCCUGACGCAGCGACGCCGCGUGAGUGAGGAAGGCCUUCGGGUCGUAAAGCUCUGUCAAAGGGAAAGAAGUGCAUGGUGGUUAAUACCCAUCAUGUUUGACGGUACCCUUAAAGGAAGCACCGGCUAACUCCGUGCCAGCAGCCGCAGUAACAC